rnacentral:rRNA from 1 species
AAACUCGGUGAUAGCUGGUUCUCCCCGAAAUAUAUUGAGGUAUAGCCUCGGGAAAUUGUCUUGCGGAGGUAGAGCACUGACAGGGCUAGGGGUCUCACCAGAUUACCAAACCCUUUCAAACUCCGAAUGCCGCCAAGAUGUACCCCGGGAGUCAGACGGCGGGUGCGAAGGUCCGUCGUCAAAAGGGAAACAGCCCAGAUCGACAGCUAAGGUCUCCAAAUCCAUGCUCAGUGGUCAAGGUGGUGGAGUUGUUCAGACAGCCAGGACGUUGGCUUAGAAGCAGCCAUCGUUUAAAGAAAGCGUAAUAGCUCACUGGUCUAAUGACUCUGCGCCGAAAAUGUAACGGGGCUAAGCAUGGUACCGAAGCUUCGGGAUCGCUUAGGCGAUCGGUAGGGGAGCGUUCCCUGCGGGCUGAAGGUGUGCCGGAAGGCAUGCUGGACUGCAGGGAAGUGAUUAUGCUGACAUGAGUAACGAUAAAACAGGUGAAAAACCUGUUCGCCGUAAACCCAAGGUUUCCUGGGUAAAGGUAAUCUUCCCAGGGUUAGUCGGUCCCUAAGGCGAGGGCGAAUGCCGUAGCCGAUGGAAAACGGGUUAAUAUUCCCGUACUUGCGCGAGUGUGCGAUGGAGGGACGCAGGAAGGUAGGCAGGCCGGCUGUUGGCUUAGCCGGUGCAAGCAGGUAGGCUUGAGGGUUGGCAAAUCCGCCCUCUUCAAGGCCGAGACGCGAGUCCGUGACCGUAUGGUCUGAAGCUGUUGAGCCUCUACUGCCUAGAAAAGCUCCUAAGUUUAGCGCGUGCGAACCGUACCGGAAACCAACACAGGUGGGUGGGGUGAAUAACCCAAGGCGCUCGAGAGAACUCUGGCCAAGGAACUCGGCAAAAUAACCCCGUAACUUCGGAAGAAGGGGUGCUCUUAUGGGUGAAGGAUUUACUCUCUAAGCCCGCGAGAGCCGCAGAGAAAUGAGGGUGGCGACUGUUUACUAAAAACAUAGGUCUCUGCUAAGUCGCAAGACGACGUAUAGGGACUGACGCCUGCCCGGUGCCGGAAGGUUAAGAGGAGAGGUCAGCGCAAGCGAAGCUUUGAAUCGAAGCCCCGGUAAACGGCGGCCGUAACUAUAACGGUCCUAAGGUAGCGAAAUUCCUUGUCGGGUAAGUUCCGACCUGCACGAAUGGCGUAACGAUCUCCCUACUGUCUCGGCCAGAGACUCGGUGAAAUUGAAGUCGCGGUGAAAAUGCCGUGUACCCGCAGAAAGACGGAAAGACCCUGUGCACCUUUACUAUAGCUUGACAUUGGGUUUUGGGCUUGCAUGUGUAGGAUAGGUGGGAGGCUGUGAACUCUGUACGCCAGUAUGGGGGGAGCCAUCCUUGAAAUACCACCCUUGCAAGUCUAAGGCUCUAAUCCAUACCCGUUAUCCGGGGUGGAGACAGUGUCUGGUGGGUAGUUUGACUGGGGCGGUCGCCUCCCAAACAAUAACGGAGGCACGCAAAGGUUCCCUCAGCCUGAUCGGAAACCAGGCGUCGAGUGCAAACGCAUAAGGGAGCUUGACUGCAAGACAGACAUGUCGAGCAGGGACGAAAGUCGGCGUUAGUGAUCCGGUGGUUCCGCAUGGAAGGGCCAUCGCUCAUUGGAUAAAAGGUACGCCGGGGAUAACAGGCUGAUCGCGCCCAAGAGUUCAUAUCGACGGCGCGGUUUGGCACCUCGAUGUCGGCUCAUCACAUCCUGGGGCUGAAGCAGGUCCCAAGGGUACGGCUGUUCGCCGUUUAAAGUGGUACGCGAGCUGGGUUUAAAACGUCGUGAGACAGUUUGGUCCCUAUCUUCUGUGGGCGUAGGAGACUUGAGAGGGCCUGUCCCUAGUACGAGAGGACCGGGAUGGACGCACCCCUGGUGGUCCUGUUGUCACGCCAGUGGCACAGCAGGGUAGCUAUGUGCGGAAGGGAUAACCGCUGAAAGCAUCUAAGCGGGAAGCCUGCCUCAAGAUAAGGUCUCCCUCUCUUCGGAGCUGAAGGGCCCGGGUAGACAACCCGGUUGAUAGGCUGGAGGUAUACAUGCGGUGACGCAUUCAGCUGACCAGUACUAAUAGCCCGUGCGCCUUGUUU